rnacentral:rRNA from 1 species
CCUACGGGUGGCAGCAGUGAGGAAUAUUGGUCAAUGGCCGAGAGCCUGAACCAGCCAAGUCGCGUGAAGGAUGAAGGUUCCAUGGUUUGUAAACUUCUUUUAUCAAGGAAUAAAGUGAGGAACGUGAUCCUUUCUGUAGGUACCAUAUGAAUAAGCAUCGGCUAACUCCGUGCCAGCAGCCGCGGUAAUACGGAGGAUGCGAGCGUUAUCCGGAUUUAUUGGGUUUAAAGGGUGCGUAGGCGGUUAAUUAAGUCAGCGGUGAAAGUUCGUGGCUCAACCAUAAAAGUGCCGUUGAAACUGGUUGACUUGAGAAUACUUGAGGUAGGCGGAAUGCGUGGUGUAGCGGUGAAAUGCAUAGAUAUCACGCAGAACUCCGAUUGCGAAGGCAGCUUACUAACCGAUAACUGACGCUGAAGCACGAAAGCGUGGGGAUCAAACAGGAUUAGAUACCCGUGUAGUC